AGAAAUGGAAGUCGACUAGCUGUUUACUAAAAUUUAAAAGUGAAGAUACAUCAAGAUUUAGCUCCAGUAAGAAAUCGAAUAGGACGUCGAAAAGGACGAAACAGAAAGCUGAGACUUUGCAAGAAUUAUAAAUAAGAUGGCUGAAAAAGUAAACCAUUACAUGAUUACACACAACGCCAUUUCCUUAUCAACCAUAUAUUGACACUUCCCAUCGCGUGAACCCUUACCAGACUACACUUGUUUAAAGGAAGAAAUGAGCAAAGGAUCCUCCAUGGAUCGGCAUGAAUGGAUGUUCCCUUUCUCAGUGGUCCAAGGAAACAAGACUGAAAGCAGGCUUGCAGAAAUAAGAGCAGAUCAAAAUCUGGUGUAGCACGAUGACAAGUAAAGGUAAAUAUAAUUUGAAACAUUUUUGAGUCGUUCAUUGAUAAAAUCUGUAUUAGGGAUAAAUAUAUGGAAAUCAAGAAAGCAAAACAUUCAUGAAGAACAGUUGCAAUACAAGCGUACUGUACACACAUGCUUUUCUAUGAAUUAUCAAAAUAUGAGCUUGAAAUACAUCGGAUAUUUUCACAGUGAAAAAUAUUAUUAGGUUAUUUAACAUUGUUCCGUACAAUACGGAGAUAUAUUUGGACGAGUAGCUGAGAAAACCAUAUUAGACGAGCCGCUAGGAGUCCAAAUAUAUCUCGUAUUGUACAGUAAAAUGUUAAAUAACCUUUUUAUUCUAUAUCUAUUUUAUUUUAGUUUGAAAUGAUUUUUCUGCCUUCUUGAUUUCAAGACGUAUAAUCAAACACAUAGAGCGCCUAUU